GAUGUGAUUUGGUAAUGUUUUGACUGUCGUCUGAUUUCUCAUAACCUUGUUUUUCACAAAUGUUACUGAAUGUGUAAUAUUAAUAAUGUAUCCCUUUGUAGUAUAUCUAUUGCUUUCAUUAUCAAAGAUAAAUUGCUCUUUUCUCUGGCUGUAUUAUAUGUUUGAACAGCAAUAAGAGAGACAUUGUUCUUCUUUGGUAUGUAUUUGAAUUCUGUGUCAUGCAUAAAGAUCAUGUUUCAGCUCAUUUCACUUCUUCCUUCUAAAUUAACUAAAACAUGUCCCUUCAUAACUGAUGUUAAUUAUCUUAAAGAAUUCUAUCCUGGUUCUGGCAAAUAUAUGCACAUAAACAUUCACGGGGUUGCACACGAGAAAGCAUAGACUAAGCCAAUCAUAUUGCAAGUACCAAAUGGAUAAAGAAGAUUUCAGAACUGUGACUUCUGUAGAAGGAUUUCCUGAAUGUUUUAAUAAUGAUCAUUCCUUUUGGUAUUCCAUAUCAAGUAAGUACUCAGUACCAAAAGUGAAUAAUGCCAGCCUGAGUCUCCAAGGCCCAUGUCUGAAGUUAUAGGUAACACAGUGCUGCAGUUUUUCAUGCUACUGUUGGUUUUACAUUAAAAUGGCUGUUCUUGAUAUAAGGUGCAUUAGCAAUGCCAGCACUUUAUAGAUCAUUCUUUUUAUAUUUAAAUUCUCAGCAAAGCAGGUGCAUCUCCAGAGUAUGGUCAAUGAGAGAUCCUAGGUAAGCACAUGGUAUAAACAGGAAUAACUUUUCAGAAACUUAUAGAUUAAUAAUGUAAGGCAGUGUUUUGUGAGGAGCAGUUCAGAGUGAUUUCUGAAUUAUGAAGUUUCUUGAAUGCAUGCCAUUUGAGAAGUAUUGGUUCUUUUUAAUGCUCUAUCAGAAUACAGAACAGGGAGAACUAUAGAAAUUAAAGUGAAACUUUAUCUAACUUUAAAUCCAUGUAAUGAAAACAUAGAAUUACUAAUUCAAAUGAAUGCCCAUUGUAAAAAUAUUAUCCAUAAAUGUAAAUGCAGUACUAUAAGUAUUCAGUCUCAGAGCUCUAUUUGUAAGCAUUUUUUGUAGUUAUGGGAUUGUACCUUGAUUUUACAGGCAUAACUGUUACAGAUAGAUUAAUCAAAAACUUUUAAAAAUAUGGUUUUAGGUACAGACAUCCUGGCAUCCUUUCAGUAAAACAUUUUUAAUGAAAUUCUGUGUUAGAUGAGAACUGUGAAAUGCUAUUGACACCCCCAGGGUUACACAAAUGUCAGUUGUUUGGUGUGUUUCCUAUACUAUACCACAGAGAAAAAAUGUAGACAACGAAAAAUAUCCUACUUUUAUAUGUUUAAUUUUUUUUAAUUUCAUCUAUAGGGGCUCCAUUUUUUCUUAGACAGAAGAAAAAAAUUAAGUCCUGCAAAAUUGAAAUUAAGAAUUCUGAUGAAUUCUCCCAUCAGCACAGAUUUUUCUGUGCAACAGAAUGGGAGGAGAAUCCAAGCAAACCAUUGUUUGGACUUCACUAAUUUCUCAGAGAUACCAGGACAGGAUCAGAAAUCAGUCCUUCCAGUUUCAGUCCCACUGAAUUCCACUUGGUCCUACAGAUCAUGACUUCUGCCAGUGUCUUGUGUCUAGAAAGACUUCUCAUCAAUUCACCAAAAUUCCUCUGAAGAAAAGUUUCUGAGGCAGAAGAAGGAAGUUUUCAUUUACUAAUCUAUUAUUUCAUUUUUAAUUAAUCUAUUUAGUCUAUUAAUUUAAUCUACAUUUACUACUCUUUCUCAUCUAUUUCCUGGUUUGUCAGCAGUGAACUUUGACAAACAGAGAAAAGGAAGGAACUUGUGUGAAGUAAGAAAACCAUGAGAUCACAUGUCCUCUAAUACUUUCUUGGGAUGCUUGUAAGUCAUUUGCAAAGAGACAGUCUUAUUCUCCUCCUGAGAAAAAGGAAGAAAUAGUGUUUAUUGUUCCUUGGUUCUGCCUCAAAAUUGUUAAAUAAGCUCUGGUCUAUGACAUUUCCAAUGCAUCUGUUCCAGCAUAAAAAAAUUGUGUUCAUGACAUAUCUGGUGGGCAUGCUGAUAGAGAGAACUGCCAGUGAUGGGCUGACUGGUCCUGAGCAGUAGCAGCGUUUCUGUGUUGAUGACAGUGUUGCCACUGUUGAUGCAGGUGAGUUUUACAAACAGAGGAAGUGAUAAGAUUUACAUCUUGAAAUUUUAGAUUCAGUUUAAUUAACACUGGAAAAUUCAAACUCCCAAGACUUUUUCUCAGUUUUGAUGUUGUUGUAAAUUACAUAAACCCCCUCAUAAAAUUAGGUGGCUCUCAGCUAUUCAGAAUAUCUGAAAAAAGAACAAAUGACAUUUAUGCCAAGAACAAUAAGAGAUAACUCAGGAUGUCCCUUCAGGAAAGAUUGCUUCUAGCAUCUUUUUAAUUUUUGUCUACCUGAAUUAAGGAACAUUUAUCUAAAGCAAUGCCUCUACACAUUAAAACUACCCAUGGGCAACUUCAGCUUGAGGAAAUUGCUGCACUGAAAGAGAAUUUUAAGUCUGUUCUAGCUUAAGUCCACCUCUGACCUUUUCUCCUCUAUUGUUUAAACCUUGUCAAAUUAUAUUUUAAUCGAAUUGUGAAUGUUUCAGUAUAACCAAUUGUACUAUGCAUUACACAAAUAUACCUCUGUGUCUCUCUUUUGCAUUUUUCUCUAUGCAAACCUCAUUUUUCCUUUCUACGCUGAACUGCAUUUUGUCAUUUUCUUCCCCAAGAAGAGAAAGAAGGACAUGAAUAGCCCUGACCACCCAGAGAGACAGUUUGUACAUUCCAUCCUAGGUGUCUCACCUCCUCAUCUGGUGUUACCUUAUGCAGCAAAAUGCAGGUCUUGGGUCUCUCCUCCUAAAGCUUUCUUGCUGCACUCCAGGGGAACUAUCUAGUUUCUAAACAUCCUUGUUUGGAAACCAACCUUCACCUGGCCACGUUGAGGUCUUUGUGCAAUUAGGCAUGGGAACCAAGGAUGUAGCAACUACUGUUCUGGAUACUUUGACCAAUGGUUUGCAUCUUUGCUCUGCCAGUGUCAGAGCUUUUCCUUACAGCUGAUGCUAUAGUCAAACUGUAAACUGAUGCUAGGGGUGUGCAAUAGGAUUUUCACUAUUCUAGGUUAGAUUUGUCUGAUGUGUUUCCUGGGCCUGAGGGAAUAAUAUAACUCAUCCUUAAGUGGAAUCUUCAGUUUCACAAAUACGUAAUUGAGUGAAGUGUGUUUAUCUAAUGUUGGAAACUGAGACUGCCAUGAGUGCACUGGGGGCAGGGGGGGAAAGGAGGGGGAGAAAGAGUUACUUGAAUUAAGUAUUCCAUUCUACUAAUUUGCUAAUAUGCUAGAAGUUAAUUCAGACUUUGUUCCUACAAGUAGUUCUGCAAAAUACAGUGAUUCUUUUUUUUUUCUGAAUGAGCAAGAAACAAGAUUCUCUGUGCUUCUAGGAAAGUUAUAAAGUUUAUCUCUGAAUAAAAUCUCUCUGAACACUAAUGUAUGUUUCGUAAGAGAAUAAGCAAACAUUUUCAUUAGUUUAUCACAGGAAUUUGAUCAGAGGGAAACUUUGUAGGCCAUGUGGUCCAACUGCCAAUUCAUGUAGCGAUUGCUAACCCUGGAUCAGACCACCUCUUGUUUACCCUGGAUCAGCUCAGCUCUGCAUCUUCCACCUGCUCUGGUUCUACAAAAAGGGCCAGAAGGAGUAUCCAGGGAACUACAGGCUUGUCAGCCUCACCCUGUGGAAGGUCAUGGAGCAGAUCAUCAUCAGUGCCAUCAUGCAGGACAUACAGAACAACAAAGGGAUCAGCCUGAGCCAGCAUGUGUUUGUGAAAGGCAGGUCCUGCUUGACCAACCUGACCUCCUUCUAUGACAAGGUGACUUAGUAGGUGAAGGUAAGGCUGUGGGAGUUGUCUGCCUGGACUUCAGUAAAUCAUUUGACAUCAUUUUCCACAACAUUCUCCUGAAGGAACUGGCUUCCCGUGGUGUGGCUGAGUGCACUCUUCACUGAGUGAAAUCUGUCUGGAUGGCUGGGCCUAGAGAGUGGUGGUGAACAGAGUUACAUCCAGCUGGCAGCCAGUGAUGAGUGGUGUUCCCCAGGGCUCAGUAUUGGGGCCAGCCCUGUUUAAUAUCUUUAUCAAUAACCUGGAUAAGAGGAUCAAGUGCACCCUCAGUAAGUUUACUAAUGACACCAACUUGGGCAGGAGUGUUGAUCUGCUGGAAGGCAGGAAGGCUCUGUAGAAGAAUAUGGAUAGGGUGGAUUGAUGGGCUGAGGGCAACAGUUCCAUAAGACAAAGUGCUGGGUCCUGCGCUUGGAUCACAGCAACUCCAUGCAGUGCUACAAGUUGGGGGCAGAGUGGCUGGAAAGCUGCCUGGUGGAAAAGGACAUAGAGGUGCUGGUUGACAGCCAGCAUUGUGUCCAGGCAGAUAAAAAGGCCAGUGACAUCCUGGAUUGUAUCAGAAGUAGUGUGGCCAGCAGGAUCAGGGAAGCGAUCAUCCCCCUAUACUCAGCACUGGUGAGGCCACACCUUGAAACCUGUGUUCAGCUUUGGCCCUCUAAUGACAAGAAAGACAUUGAGGUGCUGGAGCAUGUCCAGAGAAGGGCAGUGGGAGCUGGUGAAGGGUCUGGAGCUCAAGUCUUAUGAGGAGCAGCUGAGGGGGUGUUUAGGCUGGAGAAAAGGAGGCUGAGAGGCCACCUUAUCAAUCUCUACAACUGCCAGAACACUGUACUGAAGUGGGGUUCAGUCUCUUAUCCCAGGUAACAAGUGACUGGACAAGAGGAAAUGGCCUCAGGUUGCGCCAGGGAAGGUUUAGAUUGGAUAUUAGGAAAAACUUCUUUCUUCAUGGAAAAGGUGGUCAAGCACUGUAGUAGGCUGCCCAGGGAAGUGGUUGAGCUGCUGUCUCUGGAGGUAUUUAAAAGACACUUAGGGCCAUGCUUUAGUGGUGGACUGGGUAAUACUGGGUUAACAGUUGGAUUUGAUCUUUAAGAUCAUUUCCAACCUAAAUGAUGCUAUGAUUCUAUGAUCCUAGAAGACACACUAUCCUUUAUUAGAAAUUUGCCUGCUUUAAAUAAGUGACUUCUUUUAGUUUUUAAUCAUUUGCAACAGAUUUCUUGGCAUAUAUUUAUGUUUUCUCUCUUAAGAGUAUGAUUUCUUUCUUCAUGACUUUGAGGGUUUGAUACUAUGUGUUUCUCUCUCAGAACAAAUAUUCCAGGUAAGUUGAUGAUAGUUGUCGUCAGGCACAAAAUCCAGACUUAGCUCACCUUCCUCAAUAUCUGCAAGCACAUGGCAUCAUUGGAUUUCACUUACCUAAUGCAAAGACAAAACAAGGAAAUUCUGGAAUGCACAUAUCCAUUGGUAAGAAGUUACUCUGUUCUAUGGGGUUUGUGCCAACUGACCACCAUGUUAUGGGUCAGUGCAAAGCACAAUUGUGAAGUAGAGUUAUUGGGCUAUGGAGUCUCCAACACUGCAGUUAUGGAAAAAGAAGUUAGACAAACAUCAGCCCCAAAUAAUGUAUGUAUCAUUGAUCCCAUUUUGAGAGAGGUGAUAGACUGGAUGGUCACUUGAGGUUUCUUCCUCUAUAUUGCUUUUGUUAAUUCUUUUGCAAUCCAAUACAAAUUGUUAUUAUAGUAAUAUCUGUGAGAGGAGAAGCUGAAACAGCAAGGCAAGAAUGGCAAUCACAGUAAAAAAUUGCUAAAGAAAAACAAUCUGCUACCAUAGCACAGGUGGCUGAGCAGACACUGAAGAAGAUAAGUGACUAUUUGGUUUUUUUCUUUGGAGGCGUAUGGAAGGAAACAAGAAAAAACGUGGAAAAGAAAAAUCAUGGAUUAUCCAAGUUGCAUUAAUAAUCCAUUUUAUCUCACCAGCCAAAUUCAGAUUUCUUUUAAAAAAGAACAGUUGUAUAGCUGUGGUGAAAAUGUGCAUUUGGCUUGCUAUUCAAGAAUUGCCUUAUUGAAUUAAAUUUAUAAGUGAAAGAAAGAAACACUACUACAACACCUAUCAGGUGAAUUCCCCAUGAAUCUUAGAUUGUCACACUCAACCAAUAUAUUCCAAGUGAGAUGGAAUUAUAAUGAGAGCAUAGAAAGAUUUAGUAAGGAUAGAGAGUCAUAGAGAGUGGAAACAUUGCUGAAUGAGGAUGCUAACUGAGUGUUGUACUACAGGGUACCCCACUGCUAAGACUUCAGUGUGAGCACGUUUCAGGAAGAAGAACAAAGGCACAUAGUAAUAUAUGCAGUUGCUACAGUUGCUACAUAAGUACUCACUCAUUCAAAUAACAAAAUAAAAACCCAAAGUGAUGUUAUACUGGAGUAAAAGAUGAGAUAACACUUGUUGCAGAAAGGAUGCCUGACUAAGAAGUCCAAGCAUGAGCCACAUGCAUACCCUCUGCGAGAGACCUCGGAAUACUGAUUAAAGGGAUCCCAAAGCAGCAAAUAGUUUGAAUGACUUCAAAAGUUUGGACCUCCUAAUAGGUUGCAGGAUAUUUUAUUAUAUUUGCACUUUUCAAGGCAGAUUUGGAGCAUGUAGUUUGCAGCUGCUGGACUCUGUUUUAAGUUCUGCAAUGGAAGUCUGAAAGCUUGACGUAUUUCUUGUGUCUUCUCCUUUGUUUCGUUUCCUUAUUCCUUCACAAGUGAAAGUGAACCUCACUCAUAUUUUAUAGAGGUGGUAUAGAAAGAUAAAAAGGACAAUUUUAGCUAAAAAAAGUAAUUUUACCUCUGUUGUUCAAAGAAAGGUCAAAAAAUUCUCACCAACUUCAGUUACAUAAAGACAUGUCAAGAUCUCCCUUUGGAUUCCUACUUGUAUCAUUUAUGUGUUUAUAUCUAAAAGAAGGAGAAAAAGCAGAGAAGAGUGAAAAACAAAGUCACAGUGGGGAAAGAACAUGUCAUGGACACCUUUUGCGAUCAAACAUGAUCAUUCCAUGCUGUCAAGGAUAGCAUUUAUCUAAGCCCUACAGCAGACUGGCAAAUUGAAUGGUUACUCAAAUAGUGUAAAAUGUUUUUCAUCUUUUCCAAAAAAAUGGAGAUUCUGUUCAAUAAAAAGUAUGGAAUAUUA